rnacentral:rRNA from 1 species
UGAACGCUGGCGGCGUGCUUAACACAUGCAAGUCGAACGGUAACAGGAAAGAGCUUGCUCUUUUGCUGACGAGUGGCGCACGGGUGAGUAAUAUAUAGAUAACGUGCCUCUUAGUCUGGGAUAGCCAUUGGAAACGAUGAUUAAUACUAGAUACUCCUUCUUAUUCUAAUUUAAGUCGGGAAAGUUUUUCGCUAAGAGAUCGGUCUAUAUCCUAUCAGUUAGUUGGUGAGGUAAUGGCUCACCAAGGCAAUGACAGGUAGCGGGUUUGAGAGGAUGAUCCGCCACACUGGUACUGAGACACGGACCAGACUCCUACGGGAGGCAGCAGUGAGGAAUAUUGCACAAUGGGGGAAACCCUGAUGCAGCAACGCCGCGUGGAGGAUGACGCAUUUCGGUGUGUAAACUCCUUUUAUGAGUCAAGAAAAUGACGGUAGCUCAUGAAUAAGCACCGGCUAACUCC